AUUGAACGCUGGCGGCAGGCCUAAUACAUGCAAGUCGAACGAGUGGCGGACGGGCGAGUAAUGUCUGGGAAACUGCCCGACGGAGGGGGAUAACUACUGGAAACGGUAGCUAAUACCGCAUACCAUCGGAUGUGCCCUGAUGGGAUUAGCUAGUAGGGGGGGUAACGGCUCACCUAGGCGACGAUCCCUAGCUGGUCUGAGAGGAUGACCAGCCACACUGGAACUGAGACACGGUCCAGACUCCUACGGGAGGCAGCAGUGGGGAAUAUUGCGCAAUGGGCGCAAGCCUGAUGCAGCCAUGCCGCGUGUGUGAAGAAGGCCUUCGGGUUGUAAAGUACUUUCAGCGAGGAGGCGUUACUCGAAGAGGAAGCAUCGGCUAACUCCAUGCCAGCAGCCGCGGUAAUUC
rnacentral:rRNA from 1 species